rnacentral:tRNA from 1 species
AGGUAGGGUAGCCGAGUACCAGGCGGUGGGUUGUAGCCCCGAAGACAGAGGUGUAAGUCCUCUUCCUAUCA